CUUCUUGUACCUUCAGGACCUUCUGGCUGUGUUAGUCUCUCUUCCUAACUGUUGAAAAGCAUGUUCUUGUUUAUUGGCAAGGCUAUCUGAGAUUUUGUCCUGCACAAGUAACAUUU
ensembl:snoRNA